rnacentral:snRNA from 1 species
CAAAUUACCUGGCAGGGGAGAUACCAUGAUCACGAAAGUGGUUUUCCCAGGGCGAGGCUUAUCAACUGCAUAAUUUGUGGUAGUGGGGUACUGCAUUCACGAUUUUGCCUGA